CCAGCCGCUGAUGAAAGGGCUGGCCUUGCUGGGAGCGCCGUCUUUCGGCGCUUCCGUACCCAUGUUGCUUCAAGGAGGAUAUGGCUAUGGCAA
rfam:Pararhizobium polonicum strain F5.1 contig_20, whole genome shotgun sequence.